AUGGCUCGUUCAGCAUGCUCAACUUCAGAGAAGACAAUACCUUCUUUGACCGUGCCAGGAACCCCUAGAAGAAGCCAAGAAUCUCAUCAGACAGAUUUUGGAGCCACCAACAACGAAGCUAUUACUCUUGCAUUCUAUACAAUCAAGACAGAAUAUUCCCUCACAGGCGUCUGGAUUGUGAUGCUAUGGCUGGGCUGCCAUGUCUGGAAGAAGCCCUUGACUGCUUCAGGGAUGUUGGUCUUCUGGCAUUUGUCACUGAGAAAGAACACUGGAAUGAAGAGCUCCUACUGUAGUUCUAUGCCACCUUACAUAUUCGCGGAUACAACAGGGAUCUGA
rnacentral:rRNA from 1 species